UGAUUUUGGUCGCCAACGAGUGGCGGACGGGUGAGUAACACGUAGGUAACCUGCCCAGAAGCGGGGGACAACAUUUGGAAACAGAUGCUAAUACCGCAUAACAGCGUUGUUCGCAUGAACAACGCUUAAAAGAUGGCUUCUCGCUAUCACUUCUGGAUGGACCUGCGGUGCAUUAGCUUGUUGGUGGGGUAACGGCCUACCAAGGCGAUGAUGCAUAGCCGAGUUGAGAGACUGAUCGGCCACAAUGGGACUGAGACACGGCCCAUACUCCUACGGGAGGCAGCAGUAGGGAAUCUUCCACAAUGGGCGCAAGCCUGAUGGAGCAACACCGCGUGAGUGAAGAAGGGUUUCGGCUCGUAAAGCUCUGUUGUUAAAGAAGAACACGUAUGAGAGUAACUGUUCAUACGUUGACGGUAUUUAACCAGAAAGUCACGGCUAACUACGUGCCAGCAGCCGCGGUAAUACGUAGGUGGCAAGCGUUAUCCGGAUUUAUUGGGCGUAAAGAGAGUGCAGGCGGUUUUCUAAGUCUGAUGUGAAAGCCUUCGGCUUAACCGGAGAAGUGCAUCGGAAACUGGAUAACUUGAGUGCAGAAGAGGGUAGUGGAACUCCAUGUGUAGCGGUGGAAUGCGUAGAUAUAUGGAAGAACACCAGUGGCGAAGGCGGCUACCUGGUCUGCAACUGACGCUGAGACUCGAAAGCAUGGGUAGCGAACAGGAUUAGAUACCCUGGUAGUCCAUGCCGUAAACGAUGAGUGCUAGGUGUUGGAGGGUUUCCGCCCUUCAGUGCCGGAGCUAACGCAUUAAGCACUCCGCCUGGGGAGUACGACCGCAAGGUUGAAACUCAAAGGAAUUGACGGGGGCCCGCACAAGCGGUGGAGCAUGUGGUUUAAUUCGAAGCUACGCGAAGAACCUUACCAGGUCUUGACAUCUUGCGCCAACCCUAGAGAUAGGGCGUUUCCUUCGGGAACGCAAUGACAGGUGGUGCAUGGUCGUCGUCAGCUCGUGUCGUGAGAUGUUGGGUUAAGUCCCGCAACGAGCGCAACCCUUGUUACUAGUUGCCAGCAUUAAGUUGGGCACUCUAGUGAGACUGCCGGUGACAAACCGGAGGAAGGUGGGGACGACGUCAGAUCAUCAUGCCCCUUAUGACCUGGGCUACACACGUGCUACAAUGGACGGUACAACGAGUCGCGAACUCGCGAGGGCAAGCAAAUCUCUUAAAACCGUUCUCAGUUCGGACUGCAGGCUGCAACUCGCCUGCACGAAGUCGGAAUCGCUAGUAAUCGCGGAUCAGCAUGCCGCGGUGAAUACGUUCCCGGGCCUUGUACACACCGCCCGUCACACCAUG
rnacentral:rRNA from 2 species